AACGAACGCUGGCGGCAUGCCUAACACAUGCAAGUCGAACGAGACCUUCGGGUCUAGUGGCGCACGGGUGCGUAACGCGUGGGAACCUGCCCUUAGGUUCGGAAUAACUCCCCGAAAGGGGUGCUAAUACCGGAUAACGUCUUCGGACCAAAGAUUUAUCGCCUUUGGAUGGGCCCGCGUUGGAUUAGCUAGUUGGUAGGGUAAAAGCCUACCAAGGCGACGAUCCAUAGCUGGUCUGAGAGGAUGAUCAGCCACACUGGGACUGAGACACGGCCCAGACUCCUACGGGAGGCAGCAGUGGGGAAUAUUGGACAAUGGGCGAAAGCCUGAUCCAGCAAUGCCGCGUGAGUGAUGAAGGCCUUAGGGUUGUAAAGCUCUUUUACCCGGGAUGAUAAUGACAGUACCGGGAGAAUAAGCGCCGGCCAACUCCGUG
rnacentral:rRNA from 1 species